rnacentral:rRNA from 1 species
AACGAACGCUGGUGGCGUGCUUAACACAUGCAAGUCGAGCGGGAAAGUUUCCUUCGGGAAGCGAGUACAGCGGCAGACGGGUGAGUACAACGUAGGUAACCUACCCUCGAGACCGGGAUAACCUGUCGAAAGACGGGCUAAUACCGGAUAAGACCACAAGGGCUGCGGCCUUUGAGGUAAAAGAUGGCCUCUGCUUGCAAGCUAUCACUUGGGGGAUGGGCCUGCGCGCCAUUAGCAGUUGGUGAGGUAACGGCUCACCAAGGCAAAGAUGGCUAGCUGGUCUGAGAGGAUGAUCAGCCACACUGGGACUGAGAUACGGCCCAGACUCCUACGGGAGGCAGCAGU